rnacentral:misc_RNA from 1 species
GAAUUAAAAUUCCAUGCCCGAUAAUAAUGAUAUCAAUUUUGAUUUGGACGACGAUGAUUUAAUCAUACGUAUUCCAAAACGUUAUAUUCGAGAUGUGCAAGAUCCUUUUGAUUUUUGUUCAGACAUCGAAUUCAAGUAAAGAUAUAGAUUUGACAAGGAUAAUGUUAAAUUUGGAAUAUUACCUCUUAUAGAAUAAAAUUUAACUAAAGUCAAUAAACGAGGAUUACCAAUCCCACCAAUUUUUCAAUUAAUAAUAUGAUUGCGAUUUUAUGCAACUGCAAGUUUUCAGCUCAUUUUAGGUGAUACCAUGACAGUAUCACAACCAACAGUUUCCAGAAUAGUUUUUCGGGUGAGCGUUUUACUUGCAAGCGAAAUUCAUGAUUACAUUAAAAUGCCUCGAACUCAAGCAGCAAAAUUAGAAAACCAGAGACUUUUUGAACGUUUGGGAUUUGGUAAUGGAGCAAUUGGAAUACCCGGGGUUGAUGGAACAAUUGAUUGCACUCAUAUCCGAUUAGUUCAUACAAUGUUUCAAAAUAUUAAUGAAAUCUACAGAAAUCGAAAGGGCUAUUUUUCUCUGAAUGCGAUUGUUGGCUCA